CAGUCGAACGAGCGAGAGGAGGUUUACUUUCUCAAGCGAGUGGCGAACGGGUGAGUAACGCGUGAGGAACCUGCCUCAAAGAGGGGGACAACAGUUGGAAACGACUGCUAAUACCGCAUAAGCCCACGACCCGGCAUCGGGUAGAGGGAAAAGGAGCAAUCCGCUUUGAGAUGGCCUCGCGUCCGAUUAGCUAGUUGGUGAGGUAAUGGCCCACCAAGGCGACGAUCGGUAGCCGGACUGAGAGGUUGAACGGCCACAUUGGGACUGAGACACGGCCCAGACUCCUACGGGAGGCAGCAGUGGGGAAUAUUGCACAAUGGGGGAAACCCUGAUGCAGCGACGCCGCGUGGAGGAAGAAGGUCUUCGGAUUGUAAACUCCUGUUGUUGAGGAAGAUAAUGACGGUACUCAACAAGGAAGUGACGGCUAACUACGUGCCAGCAGCCGCGGUAAAACGUAGGUCACGAGCGUUGUCCGGAAUUACUGGGUGUAAAGGGAGCGCAGGCGGGAAGACAAGUUGGAAGUGAAAUCCAUGGGCUCAACCCAUGAACUGCUUUCAAAACUGUUUUUCUUGAGUAGUGCAGAGGUAGGCGGAAUUCCCGGUGUAGCGGUGGAAUGCGUAGAUAUCGGGAGGAACACCAGUGGCGAAGGCGGCCUACUGGGCACCAACCGACGCUGAGGCUCGAAAGUGUGGGUAGCAAACAGGAUUAGAUACCCUGGUAGUCCACACUGUAAACGAUGAUUACUAGGUG
rnacentral:rRNA from 1 species